ACAAUAAUUUUAUAAUAAAACUACCAAAAGAAACUACUAAGAAAACUGCUACAUAAGAUGUUCGUACACGAACUUCAGGACUCAUCAACUAGCUUGGAGGAUCACCUAUUCCAAGCUUGAACCAAGGGUAGCAUCCCCAUAAGCCAACCCCCUACAUUUGUAGAAAACAUAGAAAUAUGGGUUAGCACAAGAAUGUACUAAGUAUGGUAGCUAUGCAUAAAAACAUUUAAAACAUGAUAGGAAGGGGACAUUUUAGUUGGAACCAUGCUAUGCACUUUUGAACAUUAUUCUUAAAAGAGUUGGAGAACAUAAGUCAUAAACAACUGACAUAUAGUUCAUCAAAGCACUGGAUAACAACAUUACCAUAUGAAUAGUCUCCAAACAUAGUCAUAAUGCACAUACCAUCUAUUACAAGACAUAAUACACAUGCAUAGUCACACAUCAAGAUCAAAACAUCAUAAUAGACCAACAACAUAAGUAACCCUAAGCUCUACUUGUGCAAUGCAUAGAUAGGGUCCAUAGUCCUACCUAUACGAAGUAUCACUUCUAGGCCACCAUGAUCAUAUUUAACAUAAGUUCAUACUAACAUAUAAGCAACCCAAAGUCAUACCAGUGCAAUGCAAAGGUAAUAUCCCAUAACCCUACCAAAUGCUAAGUAUCACAUUUAGAUCACCAACAACAUACAUAUUUUCCUUUUGAUUCAUUCAGAGCCAACAUACACAAGUAAGGAGACAUUCAUAAUCAUAACUUGUAAUAAGUAAGGUCAAACCUUCACAUUCAUUCAUAUCACACAUACAUAAUUCAUAAGUCUUCAUUACAUAAGAGGACCUAACCAUAACCCCUCUUAAGGUCCACUUGUGCAAUGUAUGGGUGAAGUCCCAUACCAUCACUCAUACUAAGUAGUACUUCUUAAGAAGUCAUGAUUAGAGUCCAUGUUCUUAUCUUAGCUCGUAUUCGUAUCAUUUAGGGAUAAUAGCCUUAACCGACAUAGACCAUGUGAGCUACAUGGAAUCCGGUGUUCUACUCCCACACCAAAAAGAGAGGUCCUACUUGCCUAAGGUAGAACAUACAUAAUAACUUCUAAAAAAAUCUAAGUAUGGAACCACGACCUUGACCUACGGGUCAUCACUCAACCUACUGGUCGUAAAUGGCCAUACGUAGGUCAGAAGGGACGGAUUUUUGAGGACUGUUUUGGGGGUUGUUUGCAAUGUGUUGAAGGCUUAGUUUGGCCUACCCGCAUCAUCCGUGGCUUGCACACAAUGGUCAACCGACGUCGGCCGUGGCCUACCAGCAUUGUCCGUGGCCUGCACACAACGGUCAGCAGACGUCGCACGUGGCCUACCAAAAUCAACCGUGUCCAGCACACACCGGUCUGCCAACGUCGAACGUGUCCUGCCUAUAUCAAUCAGCCGAUGUCGGAUGUGGCCUUCCCCCAUUGUCCGUGGCCAGCACACAAUGAUCAACCGACGUCGGACGUGGCCUGCCAACAUCUUUUGUGGCCUGCACACAUUGGUCUGCCAACGUCGGACGUGGCCUGCCAGCGUCGUCCGUGUCCUGCACACACAGGUUUGCCAACGUCAGACGUGGCCUGGCCACA
rnacentral:ncRNA from 1 species